rnacentral:rRNA from 1 species
CCUGGCUCCGUUGAGGGCUAGCUACAGGCUUAACACAUGCAAGUCGAGGGGUAGCAUGGUCUUAGCUUGCUAAGGCCGAUGGCGACCGGCGCACGGGUGAGUAACACGUAUCCAACCUGCCGUCUACUCUUGGACAGCCUUCUGAAAGGAAGAUUAAUACAAGAUGGCAUCAUGAGUCCGCAUGUUCACAUGAUUAAAGGUAUUCCGGUAGACGAUGGGGAUGCGUUCCAUUAGAUAGUAGGCGGGGUAACGGCCCACCUAGUCUUCGAUGGAUAGGGGUUCUGAGAGGAAGGUCCCCCACAUUGGAACUGAGACACGGUCCAAACUCCUACGGGAGGCAGCAGUGAGGAAUAUUGGUCAAUGGGCGAGAGCCUGAACCAGCCAAGUAGCGUGAAGGAUGACUGCCCUAUGGGUUGUAAACUUCUUUUAUAAAGGAAUAAAGUCGGGUAUGGAUACCCGUUUGCAUGUACUUUAUGAAUAAGGAUCGGCUAACUCCGUGCCAGCAGCCGCGGUAAUACGGAGGAUCCGAGCGUUAUCCGGAUUUAUUGGGUUUAAAGGGAGCGUAGAUGGAUGUUUAAGUCAGUUGUGAAAGUUUGCGGCUCAACCGUAAAAUUGCAGUUGAUACUGGAUAUCUUGAGUGCAGUUGAGGCAGGCGGAAUUCGUGGUGUAGCGGUGAAAUGCUUAGAUAUCACGAAGAACUCCGAUUGCGAAGGCAGCCUGCUAAGCUGCAACUGACAUUGAGGCUCGAAAGUGUGGGUAUCAAACAGAAUUAGAUACCCUGGUAGUCCACACGGUAAACGAUGAAUACUCGCUGUUUGCGAUAUACGGCAAGCGGCCAAGCGAAAGCGUUAAAUAUUCCACCUGGGGAGUACGCCGGCAACGGUGAAACUCAAAGGAAUUGACGGGGGCCCGCACAAGCGGAGGAACAUGUGGUUUAAUUCGAUGAUACGCGAGGAACCUUACCCGGGCUUAAAUUGCAGAUGAAUUACGGUGAAAGCCGUAAGCCGCAAGGCAUCUGUGAAGGUGCUGCAUGGUUGUCGUCAGCUCGUGCCGUGAGGUGUCGGCUUAAGUGUCAUAACGAGCGCAACCCUUGUUGUCAGUUACUAACAGGUUCCGCUGAGGACUCUGACAAGACUGCCAUCGUAAGAUGUGAGGAAGGUGGGGAUGACGUCAAAUCAGCACGGCCCUUACGUCCGGGGCUACACACGUGUUACAAUGGGGGGUACAGAGGGCCGCUACCACGCGAGUGGAUGCCAAUCCCCAAAACCUCUCUCAGUUCGGACUGGAGUCUGCAACCCGACUCCACGAAGCUGGAUUCGCUAGUAAUCGCGCAUCAGCCACGGCGCGGUGAAUACGUUCCCGGGCCUUGUACACACCGCCCG